GAUGAACGCUGGCGGCGUGCCUAAUACAUGCAAGUCGAGCGAACGGACGAGAAGCUUGCUUUUCUGAUGUUAGCGGCGGACGGGUGAGUAACACGUGGAUAACCUACCUAUAAGACUGGGAUAACUUCGGGAAACCGUAGCUAAUACCGGAUAAUAUUUUGAACCGCAUGGUUCAAAAGUGAAAGACGGUCUCGCUGUCACUUAUAGAUGGAUCCGCGCUGCAUUAGCUAGUUGGUAAGGUAACGGCUUACCAAGGCAACGAUGCAUAGCCGACCUGAGAGGGUGAUCGGCCACACUGGAACUGAGACACGGUCCAGACUCCUACGGGAGGCAGCAGUAGGGAAUCUUCCGCAAUGGGCGAAAGCCUGACGGAGCAACGCCGCGUGAGUGAUGAAGGUCUUCGGAUCGUAAAACUCUGUUAUUAGGGAAGAACAUAUGUGUAAGUAACUGUGCACAUCUUGACGGUACCUAAUCAGAAAGCCACGGCUAACUACGUG
rnacentral:rRNA from 1 species